AUGGAAUUAGUUUAUUUUUAGAAUUAAAAGUUGUAAACUUUUGGGUUGUAUUUCAUG
rnacentral:tRNA from 1 species